rnacentral:misc_RNA from 1 species
GAUGAAGAACGCAGCGAAAUGCGAUAAGUAAUGUGAAUUGCAGAUUUCAGUGAAUCAUCGAAUCUUUGAACGCACCUUGCGCCUUGUGGUAUUCCACAAGGCAUGCCCGUUUGAGUAUCAUUAAAUCAUCAACUCUAAAACCUUUGUGGUUUUUUUAGAGCUUGGUCUUGAGGGUUUUGCAGGCUUUUUUUUUUCGAGUCUGCUCCCUUUAAAUGCAUUAGCGAGACUUCCCUAUGCUGAACCGUCUCUUUGACGUGAUAAUUAUCUGCGUCGAAUUUUGGUUCUCGUUGGGCUUGCUUCUAAUCGUCUGUUAAAGACAAAACGGAUUUGGGUGCAUAUAUGCGCCUUUUUCCAAAACCUUUUUUGAUCUCAAAUCGGGUAGGACUACCCGCUGAACUUAAGCAUAUCAAUAAGCGGGAGGA